AUGGCCAUCGCCAUCGCCUCCGCCCUACGCCGCGCCCCCAGGGCGGCGGCGGCCACGCGCGCCCUUCUCGCCGCCCUGGGCAGCCCACGCGGCGGACGCGUCGGUCCUCCCCACCAUCGCGCGGCGCCCAUCGCUCCUCUCUCCUCCCUCUCCGCCCCGCAGCCGAGCGCCGUCGCCGACGCCCAGCUCCUCCGGGUCAUAACCUACGAGAUCUCCCGCGCCCAGCUCGACUGCAGGAACCGCAACUGGGCGAAGGUAUUAGGGGAAGGCUUCCCCUUCGAGAUCAGAGACAAGGAGGGCACCAACAGGAUAACGCUCACGAGGACCCAUCAGGACGAGCGGAUCGAGGUGGAGGCGCUCCUGCCCAGCCCCGUCGACGGAGCUGCGCAAGACGACGGCGAGCAGGAGGAGGAUGACCAAGCUGAUGAAGACGGCAAGAAACAGGGCCACGCCGGCGGCGAUGUCCCAAAUAAGUACUGCAUCCCACUCAUUGUGAGGAUUCGCAAAGGAGUAGGGGCGGCUUCAUGCUUGGAGAUCGGCUGCUGCUCCUACCCAACGGGGUUCGUCGUCGAGAGGUUGGAGUUUGAAUCUGCUGGUGGUCGUGGAAGUGGAACUGCUUUCAGUGAUAUUCCUGGGGAGCUUCAGAAGGCUUUGCAACUCUACUUGGGAAGUAGGGGCAUCUCGACGCAUUUUACUGACUUCAUGCAUGCUUACAUGAUAACCAAGGAGUGCCAUGAGUAUUUGUCCUGGUUGAGAAAACUCAAAGGUCUGGUAAAAGGUUGA
rnacentral:rRNA from 1 species